GUGUGUGCGUUUUGGACGACCAGGAGAGCAGGGACAAGAACUCCAAACCCUAGCUCACCCAAAAUUCACCAAAUUGAAGGUUAAUCUAGCCCAAAUCAAAUGCAUGAGUACAAAUUCGUGAUCACCUAGUCAUGGGAAUCAUAAGUUUGGCGCUUAACAAGCUAGGUGGAAGCUUGGGGAGAAAGCGGGUCAAACGAAACAAUUAUGAGAAGAAAAGCGUAAUUUGGAUGAGAAGUGAAUGUCGUUACCAUCCGGAUGCCGAUCAAGCAACGAAGUGAACCGAACACAUACUUAAUGAAGCUUCCGCGAUAUCUUUCUUUUGUUUAGUUUAAAAAUGAAAGUUGUAAACAUUUGAUACUAUAUUUUGAAUACUCUAAUUUUGUAUGAACGUUAACUUGUCAAAGUUUUUGACAGGUC